rnacentral:rRNA from 1 species
CCGCAUCUGUGCAUGCAGCAUAUCAAUAAGCGGAGGAAAAGAAACUAACAAGGAUUCCCCUAGUAACGGCGAGUGAAGCGGGAAGAGCUCAAAUUUGAAAUCUUAAAGGGUUUCCCUUUACGAAUUGUAGUUUAAAGAAGUGUUUUCUGUUGAGAGUUUUGGUAAAAGUUCUUUGGAAUAGGACAUCAUAGAGGGUGAGAAUCCCGAUUUGACCUUUACUUUCAACUUUGUGAUACACUUUCAAAGAGUCGGAUUGUUUGGGAAUGCAGUCCAAAAUGGGUGGUAAAUUUCAUCUAAAGCUAAAUAUUGGCGAGAGACCGAUAGCGAACAAGUACCGUGAGGGAAAGAUGAAAAGAACUUUGAAAAGAGAGUUAAACAGUACGUGAAAUUGUCAAAAGGGAAGCGUUUGACACCAGUGUUGUUUUUCUGAAAAUCAAUUAAAGAACUGUUUAUGCUAAGUUGUUUAGACUUUAUCAGCUAACUGUUUAGUUUUGAGCUUUUCUUUAAUGCACUUUUCAGUUAACAAGUCAACAUCAAUUUCUUUUGCUGUAAAAAAGCUUGAGGAAGGUGGCUUGAGAUUCGUCUUAAGUGUUUAUAGCCUCUUGCCUAUGCAGUCGGAGAGAUUGAGGUCUGCAGCGUAGAUCCUUCGGGGCUAAAUGCAUUUGUGCUAAGUUAUAGCAUUUUAUAGACAACUUGUUGACUAUGAUUUGUCUUGUAGCUUACUCGCUUAUGUUAUUUUACCUACGCUUAGGAUGUUGAAUCUGUGCGAGACUAC